rnacentral:rRNA from 1 species
CCUACGGGGCGCUGCAGUGGGGGAUAUUGCACAAUGGGGGGAACCCUGAUGCAGCGACGCCGCGUGGGUGAAGAAGCGCCUCGGCGCGUAAAGCCCUGUCAGCAGGGAAGAAAAUGACGGUACCUGAAGAAGAAGCCCCGGCUAACUACGUGCCAGCAGCCGCGGUAAUACGUAGGGGGCAAGCGUUAUCCGGAUUUACUGGGUGUAAAGGGGGCGCAGACGGCGAUGCAAGCCAGGAGUGAAAGCCCGGGGCCCAACCCCGGGACUGCUCUUGGAACUGCGUGGCUGGAGGGCAGGAGGGGCAGGCGGAAUUCCUGGUGUAGCGGGGAAAGGCGUAGAUAGCAGGAGGAAGACCGGUGGCGAGGGCGGCCGGCUGGACGGCAGCGGACGUGGAGGCCUGAAAGCGUGGGGAGCAAACAGGAUUAGAGAACCCAGUAGUC